CCGUCGUUGUGUACUGCGUCGAGUUCGAGAAGAGGAGUGUCAAGAAACCAGCCGCAAGGGACAUCUUCCUCACGCGAGACCAAUACUUAAGGGUGCCUCCGAACUAGUGCGCAAACAAGGCCGAGUGCUGGUCUAUGAUGGUGGACAAGUGGAUCAGUGAGGAUUGGGCCCGCCAGCACGCCUUAUGCCGGGAGCGCCGCUUGAUGAUGCCGGGUCCGGCACAUCAUCAAGUGAGCCUUAGCCUCGGCGAGUACAAGAAUACUUGGUCGGAGUCUCAUCCAGGCCAGUCUUGCAACGACUUCACGGCAUACGCCAUGUCUCACAUGGGCAGGGCGACGUCGGACGUGGCCUACAACCCGGCGGCUCCACCAGAGGCCUACACAAACCCAAACAUCCACGCGCGCAUCAAUGCGUACA